rnacentral:pre_miRNA from 7 species
UCUCUGAGAAAUGGGGUGGCCACAAAAUCCCAGAUGAGCCCCCAACUGAAAGACCCCCAUUUUGGGGAGACCCUUGCUCAAGUCCUGGGAUGAACUGAUACCCCAAUAACACUAGAGAGACC